rnacentral:rRNA from 1 species
GACGAACGCUGGCGGCGCGCCUAACACAUGCAAGUCGAACGGAGUCAAGAGGAGCUUGCUUUUCUUGACUUAGUGGCGAACGGGUGAGUAACGCGUGAGUAACCUGCCCUGGAGUGGGGGACAACAGUUGGAAACGACUGCUAAUACCGCAUAAGCCCACGGAUCCGCAUGGAUCUGCGGGAAAAGGAUUUAUUCGCUUCAGGAUGGACUCGCGUCCAAUUAGCUAGUUGGUGAGGUAACGGCCCACCAAGGCGACGAUUGGUAGCCGGACUGAGAGGUUGAACGGCCACAUUGGGACUGGGACACGGCCCAGAAUCCUACGGGAGGCAGAAGUGGGGGAUAUUGCAAAAUGGGGGAAAACCUGAUGCAGCGACGCCGCGUGGAGGAAGAAGGUUUUCGGAUUGUAAACUCCUGUCGUUAGGGACGAUAAUGACGGUACCUAACAAGAAAGCACCGGCUAACUACGUG